CUACAUUCUAUAUAUUUGUAUUGUUUGCAUACAUUGUUGCUUUUACCUGUAUAUCUAUUGUCAUUGUGAUGUGACAAUAAACCUGAUUUAAUCUGAUUUAACAUUUUAAUAGCAAACUGUUGACUUUUGUCUAUUCCAACACAGUAACCAUCUACAUAGAAAUUCAGAAUAGAUUUGGAUCAUCUACCAAACCCUGUCCUGUUCCUGUAACAGUCUUGCCAAGCUUCCAGAGAACAUCAUCCUCUAAUCCAGAUCAGGAGCUGUAAGUAUCAGAAAUCCUGUUUUACAGUAGAGCACUGAAAAUGGAUGAAAGCUCUGAUUUACACAGUUCUUCACUCAUUAGAUUACCCCAAAUUCAGUUAAUCUUACAAGAUAUGUUUAUUGUCUUAUACGCUUUGGAGAAAAAAGACAAACUAAAUUCAAGCUUCUCUGUAUUCAAGCUUCUCUGCUCUUUUUUUAAGCAACAUGCUUUUUUAUAUGUUUAUUAUGCAGACAACAGAAGUCUAACUUGUCUUGGUUGGUCAUCUACAAUUAGGGGAAAGUUAUAACUAUAAAUAAUAGGAUUUUUAUCUUUCUUUAAGAGUUAUGGAAUGUUUUUUUUUCCCAGGUUGCUGCACGGACUUGGUAAUGUAACUAACCUGAUGCUGAUGAAGAGUAGCAGAGACCUCGUUAAUUACGUCUCUCUCCUCACUGUGGUGUUGAACCGGCUGAGUUUGGAUGUAGACUCUUCUGUGAAACUGCAGACUCACACGCGCAGUGCCCUCAUUUCAGCAGUUUGUCAGCUGACUGUCACCAACCAGAUUCUGUUCCUUGAUAUCCUGCUCAUUCUUGCAGAUCUUUUAAAAAUUUCCAAUCAAGUGAGUAAAAUGUGAUUGCUUUUCCUGACCAAAUAAUAUGUUGUAAUCCCAUCUUUCCAGAAUAACAAUGCUAAUAAUUUUCUAUGGCAAUGUCUUUUGUAGGUCACAUUUGACAGCACCAAACUAGUCAUAAAAUACAUUGAUCAUCUUUCAUCAGACUCAUUAAUGAAACACAUGUUGGAUGUGAAUACAGUGAAAGAUAUUUUGG
rnacentral:lncRNA from 1 species